rnacentral:rRNA from 1 species
AUACGUAGGGGGCGAGCGUUGUCCGGAAUGACUGGGCGUAAAGGGCGUGUAGGCGGCUUUAUAAGUCUGGAGUGAAAGUCCUGCUUUCAAGGUGGGAAUUGCUUUGGAGACUGUAGAGCUUGAGUGCGGAAGAGGUAAGUGGAAUUCCCAGUGUAGCGGUGAAAUGCGUAGAGAUUGGGAGGAACACCAGUGGCGAAGGCGACUUACUGGGCCGUAACUGACGCUGAGGCGCGAAAGCGUGGGGAGCGAACAGGAUUAGAUACCCUGGUAGUCCACGCUGUAAACGAUGAAUGCUAGGUGUAGCGGGUAUCGACCCCUGCUGUGCCGCAGUAAACACAAUAAGCAUUCCGCCUGGGGAGUACGGCCGCAAGGUUGAAACUCAAAGGAAUCGACGGGG